UGUGACCUCAAAUCAGGUAGGACUACCCGCUGAACUUAAGCAUAUCAAUAAGCGGAGGAAAAGAAACUAACAAGGAUUCCCCUAGUAACUGCGAGUGAAGCGGGAAAAGCUCAAAUUUAAAAUCUGGCGGUCUUUUGGCUGUCCGAGUUGUAAUCUAGAGAAGUGUUAUCCGCGCUGGACCGUGUACAAGUCUCCUGGAAUGGAGCAUCAUAGAGGGUGAGAAUCCCGUCUUUGACAUGGACUGCCAGGGCUUUUGUGAUGCGCUCUCAAAGAGUCGAGUUGUUUGGGAAUGCAGCUCAAAAUGGGUGGUAAAUUCCAUCUAAAGCUAAAUAUUGGCGAGAGACCGAUAGCGAACAAGUACCGUGAGGGAAAGAUGAAAAGAACUUUGGAAAGAGAGUUAAACAGUACGUGAAAUUGCUGAAAGGGAAACGCUUGAAGUCAGUCGCGUCGUCCAGGGAUCAACCUUGCUUUUGCUUGGUGCACUUUCUGGUUUGACGGGUCAGCAUCAAUUUUGAUCAUUGGAAAAAGGUCAAGGGAAUGUGGCAUCUUUGGAUGUGUUUAUAGCCCUUGGUCACAUACAAUGGUUGGGAUUGAGGAACUCAGCACGCCGCAAGGCCGGG
rnacentral:rRNA from 1 species